rnacentral:rRNA from 1 species
GCUUAACACAUGCAAGUCGAGCGAGAAUCGUUUUGCUGAAGGCUUCGGUCUGACGCAGAAUGAGGAAAGCGGCGAACGGGUGAGUAACGCGUGGGCAACCUGGCCUUAAGAAAAGGAUAGCCCCCGGAAACGGGGAGUAAUACUUUAUGAGAAUGAAAGAGGGCAUCCUACUUUCAUUCAAAGCGCAAGCGCUUAAGGAUGGGCCCGCGUAUCAUUAGCUAGUUGGUGAGAUAGCAGCCCACCAAGGCAACGAUGAUGAGCCGGUCUGAGAAGGCGAACGGCCACAUUGGAACUGAGAGACGGUCCAAACUCCUACGGGAGGCAGCAGUGGGGAAUAUUGCGCAAUGGAGAAGAACUCUGACGCAGCAAUACCGCGUGAGCGAAGAAGGUCUUCGGAUCGUAAAGCUCUGUUAUCAGGGAAGAAGAAAAUGACGGUACCUGAUGAGCAAGUCCCGGCUAACUACGUGCCAGCCGCCGCAGUAAGAC